UACGUAGGUGACCAGCGUUGUCCGGAUUUACUGGGCGUAAAGAGCGCGCAGGCGGUCGUUCAAGUCGAGUGUGAAAGCCCCCGGCUCAACUGGGGAGGGUCACUCGAUACUGAUCGACUUGAAGGCAGGAGAGGGAAGCGGAAUUCCCGGUGUAGUGGUGAAAUGCGUAGAUAUCGGGAGGAACACCAGUGGCGAAGGCGGUUACCUGGAGCUUUGCUGACGCUGAUGCGCGAAAGCGUGGGGAGCGAUCCGG
rnacentral:rRNA from 1 species